rnacentral:rRNA from 1 species
GGGCGCAGCCUGAUGCAGCCAUGCCGCGUGUGUGAAGAAGGCCUUCGGGUUGUAAAGCACUUUCAGCGAGGAGGAAGGGUUCAGUGUUAAUAGCACUGUUCAUUGACGUUACUCGCAGAAGAAGCACCGGCUAACUCCGUGCCAGCAGCCGCGGUAAUGA